rnacentral:rRNA from 1 species
GUCGAGCGAACGGACGAGAAGCUUGCUUCUCUGAUGUUAGCGGCGGACGGGUGAGUAACACGUGGAUAACCUACCUAUAAGACUGGGAUAACUUCGGGAAACCGGAGCUAAUACCGGAUAAUAUUUUGAACCGCAUGGUUCAAAAGUGAAAGACGGUCUUGCUGUCACUUAUAGAUGGAUCCGCGCUGCAUUAGCUAGUUGGUAAGGUAACGGCUUACCAAGGCAACGAUGCAUAGCCGACCUGAGAGGGUGAUCGGCCACACUGGAACUGAGACACGGUCCAGACUCCUACGGGAGGCAGCAGUAGGGAAUCUUCCGCAAUGGGCGAAAGCCUGACGGAGCAACGCCGCGUGAGUGAUGAAGGUCUUUGGAUCGUAAAACUCUGUUAUUAGGGAAGAACAUAUGUGUAAGUAACUGUGCACAUCUUGACGGUACCUAAUCAGAAAGCCACGGCUAACUACGUGCCAGCAGCCGCGGUAAUACGUAGGUGGCAAGCGUUAUCCGGAAUUAUUGGGCGUAAAGCGCGCGUAGGCGGUUUUUUAAGUCUGAUGUGAAAGCCCACGGCUCAACCGUGGAGGGUCAUUGGAAACUGGAAAACUUGAGUGCAGAAGAGGAAAGUGGAAUUCCAUGUGUAGCGGUGAAAUGCGCAGAGAUAUGGAGGAACACCAGUGGCGAA